AUGGGAUGGGUGUGAACCUGACACUGAGAAAGCAUUAAAUAGGAAUGGGGAUCUCUUCAAAUACAAACCAUCUGGAGAUCAGCUGACUCUUCCUCAACAUGGGAGUUCCUGCUUUUUUUUGGAUAGUGCCUUAUCAAGGAGUCUCCUGGUCAAAGCAGUGGAAGGUUGUGAAAGGACAAGAGAUUGGUAAUUAACAGCAUAUUGGCUUUGGAGCUGCUGUGAGGAGAACAAUGGAUGGCAGUUAAUGGAAAACACUGCAGUUACAAUUCAGCUUAGAAGUCCUGAGCCAGGGUCACCUUAAACUUGACGGACUUUUACAGCCUGAUCAGCAGGAGGACCAUGUACAGAGAAAGAUGUCUCUGGGGAUGAAGUUUUCAGUGACUUUGUAAAUCAGCACUGUUUGAAAUGAAAGCUUCAAGAGGACAUGCAGGAAAACUUGGCCACCCCCUCAACUCAACACAGUUGCUGUAGUCAAUGAACAAUGACAAUGAAAAUAAACCAAAUCCCUCCAGAGAUCCAGGUCCUUUGACAAUGAAGAAACCAAACCUCUCCAGAGAUCCAGAUUAUUUUUGGAGACAGAAAAAAACUUCCCUGGCUAUUUUUCUUAUGGCCUGUUAAAACACAAAGAUGUCUUCAAGAACUACUAAUGCAGAAACCGUAAGAAGUGAGCUGAACCAAGUCUUACUGAAUUCAUUCUGCAUGCAAGUAUGAGUAACAGCCUGACCAUCAGAACACACGGAAAUGCCAACUGAGAAUGCCACACUUUCAUAUGGAGGAGGCUUCAGAUUUUUUUGAUUAUGCUUACGUAUUUUCCUGGUGCGAUUCAUCCAUGCUUGAUAUUGAAUUCUGACCGCAAUACGAUGAAAUCUGUAUUAUUAACGCAGCAUUAUAGCAGACAUUCAGCUGAUACUGCAGAUGGCAACAAUCAGAGAUUUUUUACAAGGCACAGCAAGAUAAGAAUGUUUACAAAAUCAAAACUACCAAUGCAUAGAAUAACCUCAGAAAACAGAAGUUACCUGUAUCUAUGUGUAACUACCUCCUUUUUCUGAGAUAGGCAGACCUUCUAGUACAAAUUAAGGAAUGUGAGUUAACAGUAUACAGUCAUGCGUUUGUCUGCAAUUCCACGGGUGCACUGGAAUUGUCUGUAUUUUAUCUGUAUUUUUUGUAUUUGUAUUUGUAUUCCAGAUAAAAAAUAUUUAUCUGGAAGAGACAGAUGCAAGAGAUCUCCCAUUGCUUUUAUUUUUCUACAUUAUUCCCACAGGUAAUGGGCCCCUCAGUUUUCAACCAAAGUGACAUUUAGGAUUAAUAUCUAUUUUUCUUGAGGGCAUAGUAGUUAGCAAAUACUAUUUAUUUAAUACUAAAGAAGUAUUUAAAUACUAAAGAAGAAGAUCAAUAACUUCUGUAAACACGAUAAUUAUUACAUUUCCCCUCCCCCAUACAGACAUGAAGAUUCUCAUGGCUAGGAAACUGGUGCUUGUAUGCUUUUAUAUGGGUAUGGCUGUUUGUACCCAACAAACCACGAUGCUCUGAUAGGACAAAUGUAUGAAAAAACCUGAAAGCCUUACACACAGAGGAUGAACACAUUCUUUUUUGUAUGUAGGUAACAACUAUAUCCUUUGCCUUUGAAAUGCCAAAGGGUUUGGUUUGACUAUUACAAAAAAUGUGCAUUCUUUUUAGUUUUGUACUUCUCCAGCUGAAUUCCAAACACAAGAUCUUCACUUAGACCUGACUUAGACCUUGACUUCUUUUCAACAACAAGGUAUUUGACAAAAUUCAUGUGACAGAGAAUUAUUCCUUCAAGCUUGUUCUCUUUGGUAAAGCCUUCAUGUUACAUUUGAACACUUGAUAGAUUUCCAGCUAUAUUGUGCCACCCAGUGUAAGAGAUGGGAAAUUGCACAACUUUGCUAACCAUACAUGAGUUUGGCAUUGGUGUCCAGCAAAUGACAUUUGUGCAUUUUGAAGUUUUGAGUUUAUCAUCAACUGAAGCGUAUUUAGAAAAGCAUUAAAAGUAAUUAAUAUGAGACUUAAUUAUUCCUAAAACAUUAAUGUGCUGGAAAACAUUCAAACUUUUGACUUAAUAAGUCAUGGUUGCCCUUUGUAGAAUCACGGAAUCCCAGACUGGUUUGGGUUGGAAGGGACUUUAAAGCUCAUCCAGUUCCAAACCCCUGCCACAGGAAGGGAUACCUUCCACUAUAUCAGGUUGCUCCAAGCCCCGUCCAACCAGGCCUUGAAUACUGCCAGGGAUGGGGCAUCUACUGGGUAAUAAAAUGAUCCUCUACAGCAAAUUUAAACUCAUUUUCUAUUUAUCUAAAGCAGAAUAGAACAGUAAUGAUUCAAAAUCCAUGCUCUGCAAGCUUAAGUUUCCUGAUAAAUCAUGGGGUGUUCAGGCAUCAAACAAAU